GCUUGAUUAAAGGCUGCCAAAGGGAGUUCGGGUUCCUGCAUGUCUGUGAUGAAGUAAAGGGUUAUUUGGUCUUUUUUUUUUUUUUUUAAACUUUUGGGUUUUUGUUUUUUUUUCCAUGUCUCUCUCUUUUUUGGGAAAAAAAACAAAACAAAAGCAUUACUUAUUAGUGUUGGGAUGAAAUAGUUUGGGCAGUGGGGCAUUUUGCUGAGUGGGUAAAAGCCUGUUUGUAAAGUUUUGGAUGAGAUGGAUAGUUUGGGAGACUUCUACAGUUGCUCUUCUCUGACUGUCAGAAAGAGUAUUUGGUGACAGCCCCUCAACAGACAAGAAGAAAUAAGCAAGCAUCCACCCUUGGGUAGCCAAGGUUCAUGUCUGCUAACUACAAGCCUGACAACUACUUGGCAUUAAUAGGGAUGUAGGUUGUAGCCCUGUGCCUCUAAGGACCAAGGCAGACAAGGUGCUUUCGGUGAAUCUGAUUAUCUUUUAUUAGACCAACUUGAAUACUUGAGGGAUUUUUUUUUUUUCCAACUGUUUAAGUUGGUCUAAUAAAAGAUACCAGAUUCAGCCAAAGAACCUUGAAUGCCUAGAACGUAAAUAGAUGAGCUGUAAUUGUGGGCCCAAAGGCUGAGGGUGCAGAUUUUGCUUGAAAAAUGCAGCUUCUUAUCAGGAGCUCUCUUCAGAAAUGUGCAGCUUGGAUGCCAAAAGCAUUUUGUUAACAGGAACAUUAUUAAUGUGAAACUGUGCAAGUGAGAAGGUUAGAAAUACUGAAGUGACUUUGAUGCUUCAUUGUUAGGUUUGUUUUUUUGGGGAGGUGGAGACUUUUUUUGUUGGUUGUGUUCUGUUUUCUUCAAGUGGCAUUUGAGUUCCUAACUAACUUUGGGCACUUCUGACAAUUUUACUUUCAAUAUAAAAAUACAAGCAAUAGUGAUAAACAUCCUAAAUGCAUUUCCAGUUCAUAGGGUCAGAGUCUCAACUGGUCUAUUUGAGUGUAGAUCAAAAUAAGGAGUUAGAUUAUGCCACUGCCACUCUAGGGCCUGGUUCAUUGCCAUGACCCAGUAUUUUCAGGCCUCUCAAUGCAAAACCUACACCUGUCUGGCAGAGAGAAAAGGAACUUUCUCUUAGUAAAAAGCAUGAACCCUGUAGCACAGGUCACUUCUUACCAUUUAAUUAGUUUAUUCAAUGUAAGGUCAUGGUCAGGAUCAAGCCCAGGUUUCUUCUGUACCUUUCUUGGUGGGGUUGAAAAUGAUGUAUAUUUGUACACAAAGCAAAGCCAAAACCCAACCAAAAAAAAUUUUCUGGAUUUGGAUCUUCACAGAUGCCAAGUUAAAGAGAGGCCUUGAGAGGUAAAGCAGCACAUAACAGUAAUAAAAAACACACUCUUGGGUUGAAGAUGUGCCUGAUUGCUAAUGAGCAGACGGUUGCUAUGCUAUUCCAGGUGCUGUUAAUAAAAACCUUUCUUCCUGGCACCUGUGACCCUGAGAACAAAUCCAAAAGACUCAUGGGUGGGAUAUGUUGCCCCUUGGUAGAUGUCCCAGGCAGGCAGAGAAAUGCCUCUGCAGAGGAUAAUACACAACAUGGCCAAAGGAUUAAACAGCCCAAGGAGAGAGCACCAUUUGUAUAUUCUGCUACAAGGAACACACACACCAGUUGUGGCAGAAAAUGUUUACAUGAGCCCAUGUUACAAGAGAGUAAGACUGACAUGUUCCUGACACAACAGCCAGGUGGUUUGGAGAAUCGCACAAGAGCCAACAGAUCAGGGUUCAAGCUCUUCUGCACCUGAUUUAGGCUAGAGACUUGAGUUGAAUUCUCUUACAACAUAGAUAAAUGCCCUCACCACUGGCCUGGUGGUUAUUUCGUGGAAGGCAGGCAUGUUCCAUCUUAGAUAUGAGCAAAUCCUUGGAUGGGAUUUUUUAGCUAGCUGGGACUGAUUUUACACUUGGAUGAGUGACUCCCGCAAAGUGUUAGCCUGCUUAUAGUACAUGCUAGGACCAAUGGGAGUCGGGGAUGCAGGAUCUGUCCUGCGCUGCUUAGUGAGAAAGAUGGGCACCUUGAAGGAUCAGUUCCUAAAAGUGCUGGGCACUUCUAAGAAGGGGAAGAAUAUUAAUUUAGGGGUCUGGCACUUCACUUUCCCCUUGAAUCAAUCCUCCCCCCACUUUUAUUGCAUUAGGGUCUUCCUUUCAUGCCUGAGCUUUGGUGGUGUUGCCCUACACUAUCACAGAAUUGCCCUGAGCCUGGCUGUAUCUCAGUGGGAGGUAACUGUGCCAAAAGUUUCUAGAGAAGAGCUACCCUGCCUUCAGUGAUGGGCUGAUAGUCAUGCUUGGCUCUUCCUUAGUGCCCUCUGUCAAUAUUUUUAUCCUGCUUUAUUGCACAAUGAGGGUGUUUGAUUCCUGGCCAUCUGACACCUUCUGUGUCCAUGCACACCACUGAAAAGGCAUGCUUAUGAAACACCCCAGUAUCAAACCACUGUGGUCCCAGGCCCAUGUGUCAUUUAUGUCAUGGUUAGUGAUGGGUGACAUAGCCCCUUGCAUCUAAUCUAAGAGGUAAAUAGUACCUGAUCAGAAGGGGAGCAUUUUACCUCCACUUUGUGCACAGGUAAAUCCACGCAGGUUUCUAGUUUUGGGAAAGCAGGAAGCAGCCUCCCUGGGUAGAUGCUUCGCCUCUCCCCUUCUUGCUUAUUAUUUGCAAAGCCUCUUGAAGCAGAAUAAAAUUCAACUCAAGUAUUCUUCCUAUGGCUCUUCCUCUGCUCAUUCUGGACCUCCAGGCUGCUGACACAAUCACGAAUGAAUCAAGAAGAAUUGGCCUGUAUUUCCCUGGCUGGUUGCUUUAUCUGGAAAUGGGGUUGGGCAAUGGGACAGUCCUACCACUUCAGUCACAACCCUGAUCAAAUUAUUUCUAAAUAUCCCCCAUGGUCAAUGAGGAAAGCCAAGAAACACCAGCCCAGUAAAUUCACUUCUGUAGAAAUGCUUUCUUUUCUCCGUUUUGAUGUGGCGCAACAGUCUACCUUUAACAUGAUGUAUUAGCACUAUAUUAAGCAAGCUACCACUCUAUAUCCAUCAUUUCUGCUGUGCAUUAAACCUGGUUACCACGCAUUAAUCAUUGAUGCUGUGUGUUAAGUAGAGAUGCUUUUGUAACAGUAGAACCUGUUGGAAAACAAAGGGGAAAGAAAAUGGGAAAUUGCUUUUUGCAAGUAAGUUUAAAGUAACCUUCUUCUGGCCAUAUUAACCUCAACAGAGAGAUUGGAAGUCUUGACAUCAC